rnacentral:lncRNA from 1 species
GAGUUUCCUUUGAGAUGUUUGCCUCCUGAUUUUGCUGCUGAGUUUCUAGUCAUCCUUGAGAUGCGGAAUAGCUCUAUUGAGAAGCUUUGGGAAGGAUCUCCUGUAAGUUGUUUUAAAUUAUUUUGUUUUUGGAAAUUAAACAUAUUAUGUGUGUGUUUUAAUUUGUCUACUUGCAUUAUCCAUAUGUACAUCGGCUUCGACACCUCAAGCUGAUGGAUAUGUCUUACUCCUUAAAAUUGAAAGACAUACCUAAUGUGUCAAAUGCCACAAAUCUUGAGACAUUAAUACUCAAUGGUUGUGAA